AGAGUUUGAUCCUGGCUCAGAAUCAACGCUGGCGGCGCGCUUAACACAUGCAAGUCGCACGAGAAAGCAGUAGCAAUACUGUGAGUAAAGUGGCGUACGGGUGAGUAACACGUGGAUCAUCUACCUUCUAGUGGGGAAUACCCCCGGGAAACUGGGGACAAUACCGCAUAAGCUCGAAAGAGGAAAGCAGCAAUGCGCUGGAAGAGGAGUCCGCGGCUGAUUAGCUAGUUGGCGGGGUAAUGGCCCACCAAGGCGAAGAUCGGUAGCCGGCCUGAGAGGGCACACGGCCACACUGGCACUGAAACACGGGCCAGACUCCUACGGGAGGCAGCAGUGGGGAAUCUUGCACAAUGGAGGAAACUCUGAUGCAGCGACGCCGCGUGAGCGAUGAAGCCCUUCGGGGUGUAAAGCUCUUUCGACGGGAACGAUAAUGACGGUACCCGAAGAAGAAGCUGCGGCUAACUACGUGCCAGCAGCCGCGGUAAUACGUAGGCAGCAAGCGUUGUUCGGAAUUACUGGGCGUAAAGAGUGUGUAGGCGGUGCUCCAAGUCUGUUGUGAAAUCUCCCGGCUUAACUGGGAGGGCGCGGCGGAAACUGGAAUGCUAGAGGAUGGGAGAGGUAAGCGGAAUUCCUGGUGUAGCGGUGAAAUGCGUAGAUAUCAGGAGGAACACCUGUGGUGUAGACAGCUUACUGGACCAUUUCUGACGC
rnacentral:rRNA from 1 species